CCCACACACAGACUCACCCACGAGGGGAUCAGCUCUACCAGCCCCCUCACACCUACAGCACUACACUAGAGAACAUCAACCCCUUUCCUUGCUGCCCAGCAGCACCUUCCAACACCUCCGGAUUCCCUCGGGGCUGCAUCAGCAGCGAUGGCCUGGGCUUGUCCUGCUGAGAGGAGGGGCUCAGAGAUCAAACUAAAUUCACACGCGGGAAGCCCAGCUCUGUACUUCACGGGUAUUUUUCCAUAUCUGGCACUUCUGUAACUACUCACGGGAAGAGCAGGAGAAACAAGAUGUGCUUCCCGACGUCCCUCCCAGCUGCUGGCAGGCAGUUUGGGGACUUCCUGGGAAAGGGUUUGCAUCCGGACGGAAGUACCUUAAUAGCUCUAAUGAAUCUACCUCCACUGACAGACCAUCCCUCUCCAAUCCAUUUGCAUAGUUGGCCUCCCCAGCAUCCUGUGGUAAUGAGCUUGGUAAUUUCACACCCUCAAUUGGUCUCCAAAGCAGGUCUGGAAUAGCACCACUCUUGCUGAUUCACUGACUGCUUGGAGAAGAAAUCGCUUGGGUCCCCUGCACAGUGUGGCUUUACCUUCUCUGUCCAGGUCAGGAGAGGGGAAGUCUGGGGCAAUGAGCCAGGUCCCAGCAGUGCCCAGCGGGGCUGUGGAGCUCAUGCCCCACAUCCUGGCUCAAAGGUCCAUGACGAGCCCACAUCCAGGUCCCUCACUUCUGCUCUUGGACGUCUGACAAAAGUGUCACCCACCUCCAGGCAGCAAUUCUAGUUUCCUCCCUGCAAAGGGAAAAAAACAACAAAGGAGGAGUUGAGGAAACAUGAGCUUGGGAAAGUGAUGUCACUGCAGCCCUGUGGAUGCCAGACCCCCACAUGACUGCUGCUACCACAGCAUGAGGGCUGGAAGACUGAGGAGACCACAAACAACCCAGCAUCACCAAAGAAAUACAGCCCUGGGGCUGCCUGAAUGUGGUGCUGGAUCACAAAACUGUGGCAGCUCAGAGAUAUUUCCAGGCUGAGACUCACCAGCAGCCUUUGAACAAGAGGGAUGGCAUUGCUCCUUGCAGGGAUCAGACUCCUCUGGCUUUAAGUUCUGGUCACUGAGAAGAAUCAAACCCAAGGGGCAGUCAUUGUUUCUAAUAUUCACUGUUUUCUGCAGAAACUAUGUGGGACUCAAAUAUGAGGCCAUGGCCAGAGAACUCACCUGGGCUGGUUGGUGUUCACACCCCAUGUAAAUCUCAUCUGCAUCCAAGAGCAGAUCACAUGGAGCAAAGUGCUUCUGCAGCCUCGGCUGGCCUCCGGUGUGGUGGCUUCACCCCACAGCAGGGACGCCAAGCCAGGACCUGCUCGAGCUGUGGCUCCUGCUGGCCCAGGCUGGCACUGCCCAGCACGUGCAGCUGAAAACAGGCUUGGAGGCAAAUGGCAGCGGCCGCAGCCACGCCUGUGCCAAGGGCUGGGUCAACCAAGUGUAGCUGUGAGCUGGGGCUGUUAGCACUGGUGCCUGUGUGGGUGCAAGAUGCACAGAUGCUCAGUCUGGGAAAGGCUGCAGGUUUGGGAGUGAACAGAAUGCUUGUUUCCUCUCGUCACCUCUCUGCUCAGAUCCUUCCUCCCUGAGAUGCUGCAGCAAAACAAAGAGCCCAAGAGUGGAGCUGGAGCCACUUCCCCAGCAGUGUGGGAUCUGGGGAAGGGUCCCCAAGGAGCUGUGGGUGCUCAGACCCAGCUGAGCUGGCAGGAAGGGGCUUGCAUGAAGGCUGAAGCCACUGGGGGAAGCCAAACCCUGACAGCAGGACAACCACCACACAGACUCCUUGCCAAAAGCCUCCUGCCUUGCCAUUUCCCAGCACCCAUCACCUCCUGGAGACCCCCUUGAACCCAGGUCAGGGCUAUGCUGAGGCACCUGCACCAAGCACAGACCACCCUCAAUGACACCUCUCCCUGGGGACCUCCUGCUCCAUGCCACCUCCCGCUGCCUUCCACUAAGGUGUGUGACCCUCUUGUCCCCAGCACAGCCCUGCAGGACCAGCCCUAGUCCAGGUGCACGGUGUCUCCUGUCCCCAGCCCGUGUCCCCUCUGAUCUAGCCGCCGCAGGUGACAUUUCGUGCCUGUGCGGCACGGCAGGCGUGAGCUUUUAUC